rnacentral:rRNA from 1 species
UAAGUCAGCCACGAAUAGGCUAUCCCAACUAACGGCGGGAAAGACUCCACGGAGGGUGUAAGACCCGUGUGGGCGCGUGUCAAAGCUGUGCGGGCUCGGCCUCUAUUCCCUGAGAGUCGCGUUGCUUGAGCAUGCAGCGCUAAGCAGGUCGUAAACUCGAUCUAAGGCUAAAUAUCUCCACAGAACCGAUAGCGAACAAGUACCGUGAGGGAAAGUUGAAAAGCACUCUGGAGAGAGAGUCAAAAGACCGUGAAACCGCUCAGAGUAUAAGCCCAUGGCAGCUUGGAAGGCAUAUCGAAAGCGGGGCAUCGUUCUGCCUUCGCGGGCGGUCGGUGUUACCUUGCUUCUGUUGUGGCUCGUCAUGGUAGGGGGGUCAGGUCCACAUCCCGCCGUCGUGUGGGGGGUUCUCGGGUGUGUUGUGGUUUCUCGGUUGGCUUCGGCUGGUCGGGGGGCCCUUCGUGCUUGGUUCCUCUUUUGACACGGACGUUCAGACUCAGAGGCAAGACGCGAUAAACAGCCCACCACGGCACGUUGUGAGGUCACCCACAGGCUCGACUUUCGAUCGCGAGCCUUGACGCCGAGCAAGCACUAUGCGUGUCGCUGAGGUUCCUAACCAGGCAAAGGUGCCAGGAUCGUGGAACGACACGCGCUCAACAGUCAGGUUCGGGCGGAGACAGAGUACUGGUACGAUCCUCUUGCGACGAGCCGGCUUCUGGCCGACAUCCGAUGCUCAGGUCUCCCGCAUGUGCCGCGGGAGAUCGCCUUGACGGUCUGGA